UAAUACGGAGGAUCCGAGCGUUAUCCGGAUUUACUGGGUUUAAAGGGUGCGUAGGCGGCUCCCUCAGUCAGCGGUGAAAUGUAUCGGCUCAACCGAUAACCUGCCGUUGAUACUGGGGAGCUUGAGUUGGGUUGAGGCAGGCGGAAUGUGCGGUGUAGCGGUGAAAUGCUUAGAUAUGUCACAGAACGCCAAUCGUGAAGACAGGUCACGAAAUUAUUACUGACGCUCAUGCACGAAAGCGUGGGUAGCAAACAGGAUUAGAUACCCUGGUAGUCCACGCCCUAAACGAUGUCAACUAGGUGUUGGGAGGGUAAAACCUUUUAGUACCGGAGCUAACGCGUGAAGUUGACCGCCUGGGGAGUACGGCCGCAAGGUUAAAACUUAAAGGAAUUGACGG
rnacentral:rRNA from 1 species